rnacentral:rRNA from 1 species
UGGGGAAUAUUGCACAAUGGGCGCAAGCCUGAUGCAGCCAUGCCGCGUGUGUGAAGAAGGCCUUCGGGUUGUAAAGCACUUUCAGCGAGGAGGAAGGUGGUGAGCUUAAUACGCUCAUCAAUUGACGUUACUCGCAGAAGAAGCACCGGCUAACUCCGUGCCAGCAGCCGCGGUAAUACGGAGGGUGCAAGCGUUAAUCGGAAUUACUGGGCGUAAAGCGCACGCAGGCGGUUUGUUAAGUCAGAUGUGAAAUCCCCGGGCUCAACCUGGGAACUGCAUUUGAAACUGGCAAGCUAGAGUCUCGUAGAGGGGGGUAGAAUUUCCAGGUGUAGCGGUGAAAUGCGUAGAGAUCUGGAGGAAUACCGGUGGCGAAGGCGGCCCCCCUGGACGAAGACUGACGCUCAGGUGCGAAAGCGUGGGGCAGCAAAACAGGAUUAGAUACCCUGGUAGUCCA